UUGCCCACUUGAGACUGACCAUGUAUUGAGUGGCCAUUAUGGAGGGGUAAAUCAAUAUACUCUCUGUUAACCUGAGUCAGGGGGUUUCAUCCCUGCCUCCGGACCUGUUGGGAGGAACAUCU